UACGGAGGUGGCAAGCGUUAAUCGGAAUUACUGGGCGUAAAGCGCACUGCGAGCGGUCUGUCAAGUCGGAUGUGAAAUCCCCGGGCUCAACCUGGGAACUGCAGUUGGAACUGGCAAGCUAGAGUAGGGUAGAGGGGUGUGGAAUUCCAGGUGUAGCGGUGAAAUGCGUAGAUAUCUGGAGGAACAUCAGUGGCGAAGGCGACACCCUGGACUCAUACUGACACUGAGGUACGAAAGCGUGGGGAGCAAACAGG
rnacentral:rRNA from 1 species